UACGUAGGGGGCAAGCGUUGUCCGGAUUUAUUGGGCGUAAAGAGCGUGUAGGCGGUCAGGUAGGUCCGUUGUGAAAACUCGAGGCUCAACCUCGAGACGCCGAUGGAAACCAUCUGACUAGAGUCCGGAAGAGGAGAGUGGAAUUCCUGGUGUAGCGGUGAAAUGCGCAGAUAUCAGGAGGAACACCGAUGGCGAAGGCAGGUCUCUGGGCCACUACUGACGCUGAGAAGCGAAAGCAUGGGGAGCGAACAGG
rnacentral:rRNA from 1 species